rnacentral:rRNA from 1 species
GACAGAGGGGGCAAGCGUUGCUCGGAAUUACUGGGCGUAAAGGGCGCGUAGGCGGGAUGGCAAGUCGGUCGUGAAAUCCCUCGGCUCAACCGAGGAACGUCGAUCGAUACUGCUGUUCUUGAGGAUUGCAGAGGAGACUGGAAUUCCCGGUGUAGCGGUGAAAUGUGUAGAGAUCGGGAGGAACACCGGUGGCGAAGGCGGUUGCCUGGAGCUUUGCUGACGCUGAGGCGCGAAAGCGUGGGGAGCGAUCCGG